rnacentral:rRNA from 1 species
CGAAUGGGAGACAACCUGACGAAAGUUUGGCUAAUACCCCAUACAAUCCUCUCGGAGCAUUCCGGGGGGAUGAAAGGCCCGCAAGGGUCGUUCGAGGAGAAGUUUGCGGCCUAUCAGCUAGUUGGCGGUGUAACGGACCACCAAGGCUAUGACGGGUAGCCGAUCUAAAAGGAUGACCGGCCACAAGGGCACUGAGACACGGGCCCUACUCCUACGGGAGGCAGCAGUGGGGAAUUUUGGAUAAUGGACGAAAGUCUGAUCCAGCGACGCCGCGUGAAGGACGAAGGUUUUCGGAUCGUAAACUUCUUUUGCAGGGGACGAAUACGCGCAAGCGUUUGACGGUACUCUGCGAAUAAGCCACGGCUAACUACGUGCCAGCAGCCGCGGUAAUACGUAGGUGGCGAGCGUUACUCGGAAUUACUAGGCGUAAAGCGCGUGUA